rnacentral:lncRNA from 11 species
GCGGGGCCAAGUUGUGUGGGUCGCAUGGCGGCCGCGGCAAGGCCCAGAUCGCAGCGAGAAGGACCAGACCGUGGUGGGAAGGAAGUACACUCCCAUUUCCCACAUCAAAUGCAAAACCCCAAAAUGGUGCCAUCAACUCUGGAAUGCAGCUUUGGUUUCAGGUUACUAGGCAACAAACAAAACUAACUACAUAAACCAUCCCACAUUGAAAAUGCAUGCAUGAUUGCUAGAUAAUCCAACAGAGUAUUUGAGGAUCAGGACAUUCGUAAGGAUACCAAGAUGCUUGUUAUAUAAAGC